rnacentral:rRNA from 1 species
AACGUAGGGCCCGAGCGUUGUCCGGAAUCACUGGGUGUAAAGGGUGCGUAGGCGGGCGUGCGCGUCUGGGGUGAAAGGCUCCGGCUCAACCGGAGACAUGCCCUGGGUACGGCACGUCUUGGGUGCGGGAGAGGGCGAUGGAAUUCCUGGUGUAGCGGUGAAAUGCGUAGAUAUCAGGAGGAACACCGGUGGCGAAGGCGGUCGCCUGGCCCUAACUGACGCUGAGGUACGAAAGCUAGGGGAGCGAGUGGG